UGGGGAAUCUUGCACAAUGGAGGAAACUCUGAUGCAGCGACGCCGCGUGAGCGAAGAAGCCUUUCGGGGUGUAAAGCUCUUACGCCAGGGACGAUAAUGACGGUACCUGGAGAAGCAGCUGCGGCUAACUACGUGCCAGCAGCCGCGGUAAUACGUAGGCAGCAAGCGUUGUUCGGAAUUACUGGGCGUAAAGGGUGCGUAGGCGGCGCUCUAAGUUUGGUGUGAAAUCUCCCGGCUUAACUGGGCGGGUGCACUGAAAACUGGGGCGCUCGAGUAUUGGAGAGGAAAGCGGAAUUCCUGGUUUAGCGGUGAAAUGCGUAGAGAUCAGGAGAAACACCCGCGGUGCAGACGGCGUUCUGGACCAUCACUGA
rnacentral:rRNA from 1 species